rnacentral:rRNA from 1 species
AAAACAUGCCUACGGGAGGCAGCAGUAGGGAAUCUUCCGCAAUGGGCGAAAGCCUGACGGAGCAACGCCGCGUGAGUGAUGAAGGUCUUCGGAUCGUAAAACUCUGUUAUUAGGGAAGAACAAAUGUGUAAGUAACUAUGCACGUCUUGACGGCACCUAAUCAGAAAGCCACGGCUAACUACGUGCCAGCAGCCGCGGUAAUACGUAGGUGGCAAGCGUUAUCCGGAAUUAUUGGGCGUAAAGCGCGCGUAGGCGGUUUUUUAAGUCUGAUGUGAAAGCCCACGGCUCAACCGUGGAGGGUCAUUGGAAACUGGAAAACUUGAGUGCAGAAGAGGAAAGU